AAAUUGAAGAGUUUGAUCAUGGCUCAGAUUGAACGCUGGCGGCAGGCCUAACACAUGCAAGUCGAACGGUAACAGGAAGCAGCUUGCUGCUUUGCUGACGAGUGGCGGACGGGUGAGUAAUGUCUGGGAAACUGCCUGAUGGAGGGGGAUAACUACUGGAAACGGUGGCUAAUACCGCAUAACGUCGCAAGACCAAAGAGGGGGACCUUCGGGCCUCUUGCCAUCAGAUGUGCCCAGAUGGGAUUAGCUUGUUGGUGAGGUAACGGCUCACCAAGGCGACGAUCCCUAGCUGGUCUGAGAGGAUGACCAGCCACACUGGAACUGAGACACGGUCCAGACUCCUACGGGAGGCAGCAGUGGGGAAUAUUGCACAAUGGGCGCAAGCCUGAUGCAGCCAUGCCGCGUGUAUGAAGAAGGCCUUCGGGUUGUAAAGUACUUUCAGCGGGGAGGAAGGUGUUGUGGUUAAUAACCGCAGCAAUUGACGUUACCCGCAGAAGAAGCACCGGCUAACUCCGUGCCAGCAGCCGCGGUAAUACGGAGGGUGCAAGCGUUAAUCGGAAUUACUGGGCGUAAAGCGCACGCAGGCGGUCUGUCAAGUCGGAUGUGAAAUCCCCGGGCUCAACCUGGGAACUGCAUUCGAAACUGGCAGGCUUGAGUCUUGUAGAGGGGGGUAGAAUUCCAGGUGUAGCGGUGAAAUGCGUAGAGAUCUGGAGGAAUACCGGUGGCGAAGGCGGCCCCCUGGACAAAGACUGACGCUCAGGUGCGAAAGCGUGGGGAGCAAACAGGAUUAGAUACCCUGGUAGUCCACGCCGUAAACGAUGUCUACUUGGAGGUUGUGCCCUUGAGGCGUGGCUUCCGGAGCUAACGCGUUAAGUAGACCGCCUGGGGAGUACGGCCGCAAGGUUAAAACUCAAAUGAAUUGACGGGGGCCCGCACAAGCGGUGGAGCAUGUGGUUUAAUUCGAUGCAACGCGAAGAACCUUACCUGGUCUUGACAUCCACAGAACUUUCCAGAGAUGGACUGGUGCCUUCGGGAACUGUGAGACAGGUGCUGCAUGGCUGUCGUCAGCUCGUGUUGUGAAAUGUUGGGUUAAGUCCCGCAACGAGCGCAACCCUUAUCCUUUGUUGCCAGCGGUUAGGCCGGGAACUCAAAGGAGACUGCCAGUGAUAAACUGGAGGAAGGUGGGGAUGACGUCAAGUCAUCAUGGCCCUUACGACCAGGGCUACACACGUGCUACAAUGGCGCAUACAAAGAGAAGCGACCUCGCGAGAGCAAGCGGACCUCAUAAAGUGCGUCGUAGUCCGGAUUGGAGUCUGCAACUCGACUCCAUGAAGUCGGAAUCGCUAGUAAUCGUGGAUCAGAAUGCCACGGUGAAUACGUUCCCGGGCCUUGUACACACCGCCCGUCACACCAUGGGAGUGGGUUGCAAAAGAAGUAGGUAGCUUAACCUUCGGGAGGGCGCUUACCACUUUGUGAUUCAUGACUGGGGUGAAGUCGUAACAAGGUAACCGUAGGGGAACCUGCGGUUGGAUCACCUCCUUACCUUAAAGAAGC
rnacentral:rRNA from 2 species